GACGAACGCUGGCGGCGCGCUUAACACAUGCAAGUCGAACGGAAAGGCCUGCUUUCCCUUGUGGAUUGCGGGUACUCGAGUGGCGAACGGGUGAGUAACACGUGAGUGAUCUGCCCCCAACUUGGGUAUAAGCCUGGGAAACUGGGUCUAAUUCCCGAUAGGACUGCAGGGUGGUGCCUGUGGUGGAAAACGAUUUUCUAGUGGUUGGGGAUGAGCUCGCGGCCUAUCAGCUUGUUGGUGGGGUAAUGGCCUACCAAGGCGGCGACGGGUAGCCGGCCUGGGAGGGUGGACGGCCACGUUGGGACUGAGAUACGGCCCAGACGCCUACGGGAGGCAGCAGUCGGGAAUAUUGCACGAUGGGCGGAAGCCUGAUGCAGCGACGCCGCGUGAGGGAUGACGGCCUUCGGGUUGUAAACUCCUUUCGGCCGCGAGGAAGCCACCUGGUUGGAAGGUUGGUGACGGUAGUGGUAGAAGAAGCACCGGCUAACUACGUG
rnacentral:rRNA from 1 species